rnacentral:rRNA from 1 species
GGAAUAUUGGACAAUGGGCGCAAGCCUGAUCCAGCAAUGCCGCGUGGGUGAAGAAGGCCUUCGGGUUGUAAAGCCCUUUUGUACGGGAAGAAAGACGCUGGGCUAAUACCCUGGCGGGAUGACGGUACCGUAAGAAUAAGCCCCGGCUAACUUCGUGCCAGCAGCCGCGGUAAUACGAAGGGUGCAAGCGUUACUCGGAAUUACUGGGCGUAAAGCGUGCGUAGGUGGUUCGUUAAGUCUGCCGUGAAAGCCCCGGGCUCAACCUGGGAAUGGCGGUGGAUACUGGCGGACUAGAGUGCGGUAGAGGGUGGUGGAAUUCCCGGUGUAGCAGUGAAAUGCGUAGAGAUCGGGAGGAACAUCUGUGGCGAAGGCGGCCACCUGGACCAGCACUGACACUGAGGCACGAAAGCGUGGGGAGCAAAC